rnacentral:rRNA from 1 species
GACAGAGGGUGCAAACGUUGUCCGGAAUUAUUGGGCGUAAAGAGCUCGUAGGCGGUCUGUCGCGUCUGCUGUGAAAACCUGGGGCUUAACCCCGGGCCUGCAGUGGGUACGGGCAGACUAGAGUGUGGUAGGGGAGACUGGAAUUCCUGGUGUAGCGGUGAAAUGCGCAGAUAUCAGGAGGAACACCGGUGGCGAAGGCGGGUCUCUGGGCCAUAACUGACGCUGAGGAGCGAAAGCGUGGGGAGCGAACAGG